GGAUAGUGAAGUUCUAAAGAAAGCUGCUAACUCCUCUUUAAGGUAGUUUAAUUCUACCUACUGUCUU
rnacentral:tRNA from 1 species